CUCUCCAUAGGCUAAUUGGAUAAACCAGAGUGCUACGAACGCUCAAUUGUGGGUUCGAGUCCCGCUGGAGAGACC
rnacentral:tRNA from 1 species